UAUUUUUCCAUCCAUUGGUCAGAUCUGUUAGUAAAUUUCAUUAUAAAGAAGGGUUAGAUGAUAAAAAAAUCCUCUUUGAAGAAGAGCAGGAGAGCCAAUUUACGUGUAGCCACAAAAAUCAAAAUUUAAAAUUCGAAAUCCGUCAGUGUAGUGACAGAAUGGUUGCCACGUGUCCCACCAAAGUUGACUUUAGAAAAAAAGGGAAAACCAGGUCAUUUAUCUUCUGGGUUUAUUCGGAGCGACGAGUGGCGACUGUUUACAGCUACCGGCGAGUGGCGACUUCGACUGGCGACUCUUUACAGCUAUCGGCGAGUGGCGACUAGCAAAGAAAAAGGGGUUGAAAGCAUUAGCUCGAGAUUGUUUAGGAGGACUGAGAAAAAAAUAGGGUUUCUAAGUGGCGGCUGGCGAUCGGUUAACCGGGAAGGAUGACGACUGAAGGAACACAGCAGCAAUGGAUGACUGAAGGCUGUUUAGGGUAUAGGGUUCGACUAUUUACGCUAUAAUUUGUUGAAAUAAGAGACAAUUGGUACUGUGUUGGGACUCUCAUUCGAGGUUAAUGGUUAAAAAAAAUGGGUUAAAGGAUUAUGCAAUUCAAGAGGGCUUUGCAUUAAGGAAGUUCAAUUCGAAAACUUUCUCAUUCGUAUUUGUUUCUCAAGAAAAUUAUUUAAAUUCCAUGUGUUGAAUUGAUAAAAACAAACGAAAUUGGCGCAAGAUGAGAAUCAGAGGUUGGAAGAUAUGCUUGGGGGUUUGCUUCAGCAAUUGGUGGAAUUGGUGGUACAUUCCUAACGAUGACCUCAGGAACUGAGGUUCGGCAUUUUUCUAGCCUGUGUAUUUGUUAAUUUUCACUGAAGAAGUGAUCCCUGAGAGCUCUUUUGAUUCCUGAAGCUUUUUAUAAUGCUGAAAGCACUCUGAAAUGUCUAGUUUGUUUGUUUAUUUGAAACAAAACUGGUACAAUAUGAGAACCAAUUGUUAAAAUAGAUGCUUGGACUACUCAUUUAACUCCUGAAACCACCUAAAUGAUGCCAAAUGUUUUUUUUAUUAGUUUACUUAAGAAAUUGGUAUGUUGGUACAGUCUUCCGCAUUGGAUUCAGUAGAGCCAUUAAUGCAGUAUGGACAAUCAAUUGAUGACAGGGAAAUUAGCCAGGCUCAAAUUCCACAGCUCCUCGGUCAGGAAAUGCUUUUGUUGUUAAUUUGCUGCCUUACAGUUUAUAUAUGUAAUUCUUUGAUUAGGUAAUGUUGGACAAUUUGUGACACAAGUGCAAUGUAAAGGAAGAAAUUGGAUUCGCUUUGCAAGAAAGUCAUUGGUGUAGCAUUGUUUGUGGUUGAUAAUAUACUUGUGAUGCAUUGGUUGUUGUAUA